CAUGCCCCUUAUACGCUGGGCUACACACGUGCUACAAUGGGUAGAACAGAGAGUUGCAAAGCCGUGAGGUGGAGCUAAUCUCAGAAAACUAUUCUUAGUUCGGAUUGUACUCUGCAACUCGAGUACAUGAAGUUGGAAUCGCUAGUAAUCGCGAAUCAGCAAUGUCGCGGUGAAUACGUUCUCGGGUCUUGUACACACCGCCCGUCACACCACGAGAGUUGGUUGCACCUGAAGUAGCAGGCCUAACCGUAAGGAGGGAUGCUCCGAGGGUGUGAUUAGCGAUUGGGGUGAAGUCGUAACAAGGUAUCCGUACGGGAACGUGCGGAUGGAUCACCUCCUUUCUAAGGAGAAAAAGUCUUUCUCUAUUCUAUUGGUAAUGUUCUUUACAUUACUUCUGAACAUUGGAAACUAUAUAGUAGAACAAACAAGAAAAAAAAUUAACUCUAACAAUUUCUUAGAGUUAGCUGUCAAAAAAUAGGUUAAAAUAAUUAAGGGCACACAAAGGAUGCCUAGGUAGUAAGAGCCGAUGAAGGACGUGGUAAGCUGCGAUAAGCCUAG
rnacentral:sRNA from 1 species